rnacentral:rRNA from 1 species
GAUGAACGCUAGCGGCAGGCCUAACACAUGCAAGUCGAGGGAGAAGCCCUUUCGGGGGCAGAAACCGGCGCACGGGUGCGUAACGCGUAUGCAACCUACCUUUCACAGGAGGAUAGCCCGAAGAAAUUUGGAUUAAUACCCCAUAAUAUUAUUGGAUGGCAUCAUUUGAUAAUUAAAGCUACGACGGUGAAAGAUGGGCAUGCGUCCUAUUAGCUAGUUGGAGUGGUAACGGCACCCCAAGGCUACGAUAGGUAGGGGUCCUGAGAGGGAGAUCCCCCACACUGGUACUGAGACAGGGACCAGACUCCUACGGGAGGCAGCAGUGAGGAAUAUUGGUCAAUGGUCGGAAGACUGAACCAGCCAUGCCGCGUGCAGGAAGAAUGCCUUAUGGGUUGUAAACUGCUUUUAUAUGGGAAGAAUAAGGCGUACGUGUACGUNGANGACGNUNCCA